GACGAACGCUGGCGGCGUGCUUAACACAUGCAAGUCGAACGGAAAGGCCCUUCGGGGUACUCGAGUGGCGAACGGGUGAGUAACACGUGGGUGAUCUGCCCUGCACUUUGGGAUAAGCCUGGGAAACUGGGUCUAAUACCGAAUAGGACCACGCGCUUCAUGGUGUGUGGUGGAAAGCUUUUGCGGUGUGGGAUGGGCCCGCGGCCUAUCAGCUUGUUGGUGGGGUAAUGGCCUACCAAGGCGACGACGGGUAGCCGGCCUAAGAGGGUGACCGGCCACACUGGGACUGAGAUACGGCCCAGACUCCUACGGGAGGCAGCAGUGGGGAAUAUUGCACAAUGGGCGCAAGCCUGAUGCAGCGACGCCGCGUGAGGGAUGACGGCCUUCGGGUUGUAAACCUCUUUCAAUAGGGACGAAGCGCAAGUGACGGUACCUAUAGAAGAAGCACCGGCCAACUACGUG
rnacentral:rRNA from 1 species